rnacentral:lncRNA from 1 species
GUAUCUAUCAAAUUCAGGUUUAAGAGUUUAAAACUCGUAUUGUUUUGAUCUUUAAAAAUAUGAUUUAUUUCAUUCCCGCCAAAAAUAAAACAUAAAAAUGAAAAACGUUUCCAGUAUUUAAAAAAAUCUACCAGUGAUUUAUUCAUAAAAAUUUCAAGAAGGAAAGUGCCAUGUGUACUCUUCAAAAUAAAGCAAAACAAAGUGUAUGUCACCGACCUUUCAAAAAAGUUAUGAGCAAUUUUCAUGUUUUUUUUUUCUCGUUCGUUUUGAAGAAAAGAGUUGUCUUUCUUCAGAACAUUGCAUCUGACGUCAUAGUACAAACUUUCCUUGCUGGCGCACUGUUUGAAAAAAAUCGAAAAUUGGACGUUUGAAACCCACAUUUAAAUUUCCAAGACUAACAACUAUUCUCACCAACUUUAAUAUCCGGUAAUACAAGAGAUUAAAUGCAUGUAUCAGUAUCAGAUCUUAUGAAUAAGAUGUUGUUGCCGAACAACAUUAACCUUCAGAAACACCAUCCGUAGGAAUGAAAAUUGUUUGAAAUAACCUUUCACGUCGCUUUUGUUAGGAAAGGCUUUUUU